rnacentral:rRNA from 1 species
UAGCGACAGGCCUAACACAUGCAAGUCGAGGGGCGGCACAAGGAGCAAUCUGAGGUGGCGACCGGCGCACGGGUGAGUAACACGUAUGCAACCUGCCUGUAAGCGGGGAAUAACCCGUUGAAAGACGGACUAAUACCGCAUAAUACUAAAUUACUGCAUGGUAAUUUAUUUAAACAUUUAUGGCUUACAGAUGGGCAUGCGCAUGAUUAGCUAGUUGGAGAGGUAACGGCUCCCCAAGGCAACGAUCAUUAGGGGUUCUGAGAGGAAGGUCCCCCACACUGGUACUGAGACACGGACCAGACUCCUACGGGAGGCAGCAGUGAGGAAUAUUGGUCAAUGGACGAGAGUCUGAACCAGCCAAGUCGCGUGCAGGAAGAAUGUCCUAUUGGAUUGUAAACUGCUUUUGCAGGGGAAUAAAGUGCAUCACGUGUGAUGUUUUGUAUGUACUCUGCGAAUAAGGAUCGGCUAACUCCGUGCCAGCAGCUGC